UUCCUGUGGAUUAAUACUUGAGAUGCUUAUGGAGGGAGGAACUGGGUCCGUGGGAUGCGAGGGGAGGGAGUCACCCAUGCCUUUAUGAAAUAUGCUUCCAGCAGCCCGCACAUGGUCUGCACCUCCUGAUGCUAGGUCAGGACUGAAUCGUAUAAAAGGCAAAGCUUCUCACAGCAACUCAGUCUACCUGUCUCCUGAGUGAUCUGCUGCAGUGCCUGAACCAGGUAGAGUGCUUCUCAGGACCAGGAUGAACUCUUGGUACCAGUGUUUUGGGCAGAAAGAGCCCCUGGGUGGAGGUUGAGGCCAUUCUUGAAGAAAGACAAGAAUAAAAGAGAAUUUUGGAGGGGAGGGUUCUUCUGGAAGGGGAAGAUGGAAGCUUUAUUCAGCUCCUACAGAGAUGUCCUGCCAGCAGAGCCAGCAGCAGUGCCAGCCUCCUCCCAAAUGUACCCCUAAAUGCCCUCCUAAGUGUACUCCUAAGUGUCCUCCCAAGUGUCCCCCCAAAUGCCCUCCCCAGUGUUCAGCCCCAUGCCCACCUCCAGUCUCUUCCUGCUGUGGUUCCAGCUCUGGGGGCUGCUGCAGCUCUGAGGGUGGUGGCUGCUGCCUGAGCCACCACAGGCCCCGCCGGUCCCUCCGACGCCGACCUCAGAGCUCCAGCUGCUGUGGCAGUGGCAGUGGCCAGCAGUCUGGGGGCUCUGGCUGCUGCCACAGUUCUGGGGGCUGCUGCUGACCUGGGCCAUGAGGAGCGUGAAGGAGCAGCACUGGCAGAGCCCAGGUGCAGAAGAUCUGUAUCAAUCUGAGGCUUCUUUUCUCUCGUUUCCCAUGGAAGGACUUCAGAAAUGCCUUAAGUUCUCCUCUUUAUCCUGCCUGUGUUCACUCCAUUGUGAGGUUGAGGUCUAGCCUGUGAUAUUUUCUGGCCUGACUUUCCCUCUCAGACAUGGUUCUUUGAAAACUAGGUGUUGUAAUUCAGUUAUGAAGCUAUUUUUUCUGUAACAAUAAAGCUUUUUAUUCCUGA